rnacentral:pre_miRNA from 1 species
AGCUUGAAUGUGAGAAUUGGAGGAAACAAAAUCGCUUGUGUUGCCCAUGCUGGAUGGUUGAGCAAAUGAUUUGGUUUUCUCCAAUUUCUCACCUUUCAAUAU